AUAACCAGUGUUCUUAGUUUGUGCUUUCAGCCCCCACCCAAUAAAUUAUUGCCAAUUGGGAAGCAAUUGGACGCAAAAAGUUCGAAUGUGAUAUUUGUCCAAAGGCGACUGAAUGUACACGUACGUACCAACUGGACCUUCUUCUCGAUGUGUGGUGCUGUGGUGUGUCGCAGUGGGAUUCAAUAUAGCAUCUGAUUACGGCAUCUCUCUGCAGUUGCGCAAACGAUUCGUGAUGGUUAAGGUGGUGUUUUGUGCCAUUAAAAACUCGUGCUCAUUCGUUGGCCCGCUGUGCACUUCAAAAUUGCAGCAUUUUCUAAAAAAGAAGAAAAAGCACAACAGAAAUGUUGGUAUUACCGCACUUUGAAGAUGGACG